UUUCAGGAGGAUUUGAUCCUGGUCCAGGAUGAACGCUGGCGGCGUGGAUUAGGCAUGCAAGUCGAGCGCCUGACUUUCAUUGACCAAGCCAAUUUGGUAAGGUCGCCGAAAGUCGGGAGCGGCAAACGAGUUAGUAACACCUUGGAACCUACCCUGUACACGGGAAUAAGCCAUCGAAAGAUGGUCUAAUGCCCGAUAGUCUCGCAAGAGUAAAGCUCCGGCGGUACAGGAGGGGCCUAGGCCCGAUCAGCUUGUUGGUGAGGUAAUAGCUCACCAAGGCUACGACCGGUAGGGGAGGUGAGAGCCUGACCCUCAACGACGGAACUGAGAUACGGUCCGUACACCUACGGGUGGCUGCAGUCGAGAAUAUUCCACAAUGGGCGAAAGCCUGAUGGAGCGACGCCGCGUGCAGGAAGAAGGCCUUCGGGUUGUAAACUGCUUUUCUAGGGGAAGAAGUUUUGACGGUACCCUAGGAAUAAGGAAUGGCAAACUUCGUGAAUGACAUGGAUUAAGCUCCAUGUCAGCCAUUCAAGCAACGCUACAAAAUAGCGUUUUCGUAAUUACUGGCGCGACUUCUUAUGGAAACAUAAGAAUGCACAACUUGGCUUAUAUGCGGGAAGUCUAUGGAGGGCUGCGCUCCGACAAUAUCAGAGUUCCCUAUAGAUAAUCCGCAGGGAAGUCGGUAGUGGUAAAACUACUUGACCCCUCAGAGACUGAGCUCGUAAGAGCGAGAUAGAGACUUUUCUCUAUAACACGCCAAGCACCCUACGGGGUGAUGAUAUAGUCCGAUCCUUACAGCGAUGUAAGUAAAUAAUUGGCCAGCAGCAGCGGUAAUACGAAGAUUCCAAGCGUUAUCCGAAUUUAUUGGGCGUAAAGCGUACGUAGGGGGCCUGAUGCGUCCGCCGUUAAAUCUCAC
rnacentral:ncRNA from 1 species